GAUGAACGCUGGCGGCGUGCCUAAUACAUGCAAGUCGAGCGAACGGACGAGAAGCUUGCUUCUCUGAUGUUAGCGGCGGACGGGUGAGUAACACGUGGAUAACCUACCUAUAAGACUGGGAUAACUUCGGGAAACCGGAGCUAAUACCGGAUAAUAUUUUGAACCGCAUGGUUCAAAAGUGAAAGACGGUCUUGCUGUCACUUAUAGAUGGAUCCGCGCUGCAUUAGCUAGUUGGUAAGGUAACGGCUUACCAAGGCAACGAUGCAUAGCCGACCUGAGAGGGUGAUCGGCCACACUGGAACUGAGACACGGUCCAGACUCCUACGGGAGGCAGCAGUAGGGAAUCUUCCGCAAUGGGCGAAAGCCUGACGGAGCAACGCCGCGUGAGUGAUGAAGGUCUUCGGAUCGUAAAACUCUGUUAUUAGGGAAGAACAUAUGUGUAAGUAACUGUGCACAUCUUGACGGUACCUAAUCAGAAAGCCACGGCUAACUACGUGCCAGCAGCCGCGGUAAUACGUAGGUGGCAAGCGUUAUCCGGAAUUAUUGGGCGUAAAGCGCGCGUAGGCGGUUUUUUAAGUCUGAUGUGAAAGCCCACGGCUCAACCGUGGAGGGUCAUUGGAAACUGGAAAACUUGAGUGCAGAAGAGGAAAGUGGAAUUCCAUGUGUAGCGGUGAAAUGCGCAGAGAUAUGGAGGAACACCAGUGGCGAAGGCGACUUUCUGGUCUGUAACUGACGCUGAUGUGCGAAAGCGUGGGGAUCAAACAGGAUUAGAUACCCUGGUAGUCCACGCCGUAAACGAUGAGUGCUAAGUGUUAGGGGGUUUCCGCCCCUUAGUGCUGCAGCUAACGCAUUAAGCACUCCGCCUGGGGAGUACGACCGCAAGGUUGAAACUCAAAGGAAUUGACGGGGACCCGCACAAGCGGUGGAGCAUGUGGUUUAAUUCGAAGCAACGCGAAGAACCUUACCAAAUCUUGACAUCCUUUGACAACUCUAGAGAUAGAGCCUUCCCCUUCGGGGGACAAAGUGACAGGUGGUGCAUGGUUGUCGUCAGCUCGUGUCGUGAGAUGUUGGGUUAAGUCCCGCAACGAGCGCAACCCUUAAGCUUAGUUGCCAUCAUUAAGUUGGGCACUCUAAGUUGACUGCCGGUGACAAACCGGAGGAAGGUGGGGAUGACGUCAAAUCAUCAUGCCCCUUAUGAUUUGGGCUACACACGUGCUACAAUGGACAAUACAAAGGGCAGCGAAACCGCGAGGUCAAGCAAAUCCCAUAAAGUUGUUCUCAGUUCGGAUUGUAGUCUGCAACUCGACUACAUGAAGCUGGAAUCGCUAGUAAUCGUGGAUCAGCAUGCUACGGUGAAUACGUUCCCGGGUCU
rnacentral:rRNA from 1 species